CAUGGUCUAGCCAGUCUACCCAAGCAUAAUGAAUUUUAGUUUGCCCCCCCGAAACUAAGUGAGCUACUUCAGAACAGCCAUUAGGGCCAACCCGUCUCUGUCGCAGAAGAGUGGGACGAUUUUCAAGUAGAGGUGAUAAACCUACCGAACUUAGAGAUAGCUGGUUACUUAAGAAAAGAAUUUUAGUUCUGCCCUAAGUUUUUAAUUAAAUAAAAAACCCCUCAAAACUUAGGACCUAUUCRAAUAAGGCACAGCUUAUUUGAAACAGGAAACAACCUAUAACACUGGGUAAUAUACAUAGUGCUUGUGACAAGUAGGCCCAAAAGCAGCCAUCUUCAAAAAAGCGUCAAAGCUUAGCACAUUAACUUCUUUAAUACCUCAUUUUGUCUAAAACCCUUCAUCCCUAUUAAGUAAACCCAUAAACAUAUGGGAGCUAUAAUGCUAGAACUAGUAACAAGAAAAAGAUUUUUCUCCAAAAUGUAAGCUUAUGCCACAAUAGACAAUCUUUUGGCAAUUAACGCAAAUGUUUUAAUUACAGUAACAUUCCUCAAGAAACCCCUGUAAACCCCAACGUCAAUCUUACACUAGCACAUUUAUGGAAAGAUUAAAAGAGUAGGAAGGAACUCGGCAAAUUUUGAUCCCGCCUGUUUUA
rnacentral:rRNA from 1 species